rnacentral:rRNA from 1 species
UGAGGGAAUAUUGGGUCAAUGGACGCAAGUCUGAACCAGCCAAGUAGCGUGCAGGAUGACGGCCCUAUGGGUUGUAAACUGCUUUUAUGCGGGGAUAAAGUGAGGGACGUGUCCCUUUUUGUAGGUACCGCAUGAAUAAGGACCGGCUAAUUCCGUGCCAGCAGCCGCGGUAAUACGGAAGGUCCGGGCGUUAUCCGGAUUUAUUGGGUUUAAAGGGAGCGUAGGCCGUCGUUUAAGCGUGUUGUGAAAUGUAGGCGCCCAACGUCUGCACCGCAGCGCGAACUGGUGCCCUUGAGUACGCACGACGUUGGCGGAAUUCGCCGUGUAGCGGUGAAAUGCUUAGAUAUGGCGAAGAACUCCGAUUGCGAAGGCAGCUGACGGGAGCGCUACUGACGCUCAUGCUCGAAAGCGCGGGUAUCGAACAGGAUUAGAUACCCUGGUA